UACGAAUGGGGCAAGCGUUGUUCGGAAUCACUGGGCUUAAAGCGUGCGCAGGCGGACUUGAAAGUCGGGAGUGAAAUCCCAGGGCUCAACCCUGGAACUGCUCUCGAAACUCCAAGUCUAGAAUUCGAUAGAGGUAGGGGGAAUUCCUAGUGUAGAGGUGAAAUUCGCAGAUAUUAGGAGGAACACCAGUGGCGUAGGCG
rnacentral:rRNA from 1 species